CCUACGGGUGGCAGCAGUGAGGAAUAUUGGUCAAUGGGCGGGAGCCUGAACCAGCCAAGCCGCGUGAUGGAAGAAGGUACAGCGUAUCGUAAACCUCUUUUGUCAGGGAACAAAGGCGUGCACUAGUCCCCGUAUGAGUGUACCUGAAGAAAAAGCAUCGGCAAACUCCGUGCCAGCAGCCGCGGUAAUACGGAGGAUGCGAGCGUUAGCCGGAUUUAUUGGGUUUAAAGGGUGCGCAGACGGCGUGUUAAGUGGGCGGUAAAAGCCCGGGGCUCAACCCUGGAGAGCCGUUGAAACUGGCGGGCUUGAGUUGGAGAGAGGUACGCGGAAUGCGCGGUGUAGCGGUGAAAUGCUUAGAUAUCGCGCAGAACCCCGAUUGCGAAGGCAGCGUACCGGCUCCACACUGACGCUGAGGCACGAAAGCGUGGGUAUCGAACAGGAUUAGAUACCCGUGUAGUC
rnacentral:rRNA from 1 species